UAAGGGCGCACGGUGGAUGCCUUGGCACUAGAAGCCGAUGAAGGACGUUACUAACGACGAUAUGCUUUGGGGAGCUGUAAGUAAGCUUUGAUCCAGAGAUUUCCGAAUGGGGAAACCCAGCAUGAGUUAUGUCAUGUUAUCGAUAUGUGAAUACAUAGCAUAUCAGAAGGCACACCCGGAGAACUGAAACAUCUUAGUACCCGGAGGAAGAGAAAGAAAAUUCGAUUCCCUUAGUAGCGGCGAGCGAAACGGGAAGAGCCCAAACCAACAAGCUUGCUUGUUGGGGUUGUAGGACACUCUAUACGGAGUUACAAAGGACGACAUUAGACGAAUCAUCUGGAAAGAUGAAUCAAAGAAGGUAAUAAUCCUGUAGUCGAAAAUGUUGUCUCUCUUGAGUGGAUCCUGAGUACGACGGAGCACGUGAAAUUCCGUCGGAAUCUGGGAGGACCAUCUCCUAAGGCUAAAUACUCUCUAGUGACCGAUAGUGAACCAGUACCGUGAGGGAAAGGUGAAAAGCACCCCGGAAGGGGAGUGAAAUAGAACCUGAAACCGUGUGCUUACAAGUAGUCAGAGCCCGUUAAUGGGUGAUGGCGUGCCUUUUGUAGAAUGAACCGGCGAGUUACGAUUUGAUGCAAGGUUAAGCAGUAAAUGUGGAGCCGUAGCGAAAGCGAGUCUGAAUAGGGCGUUUAGUAUUUGGUCGUAGACCCGAAACCAGGUGAUCUACCCUUGGUCAGGUUGAAGUUCAGGUAACACUGAAUGGAGGACCGAACCGACUUACGUUGAAAAGUGAGCGGAUGAACUGAGGGUAGCGGAGAAAUUCCAAUCGAACCUGGAGAUAGCUGGUUCUCUCCGAAAUAGCUUUAGGGCUAGCCUCAAGUGAUGAUUAUUGGAGGUAGAGCACUGUUUGGACGAGGGGCCCCUCUCGGGUUACCGAAUUCAGACAAACUCCGAAUGCCAAUUAAUUUAACUUGGGAGUCAGAACAUGGGUGAUAAGGUCCGUGUUCGAAAGGGAAACAGCCCAGACCACCAGCUAAGGUCCCAAAAUAUAUGUUAAGUGGAAAAGGAUGUGGCGUUGCCCAGACAACUAGGAUGUUGGCUUAGAAGCAGCCAUCAUUUAAAGAGUGCGUAAUAGCUCACUAGUCGAGUGACACUGCGCCGAAAAUGUACCGGGGCUAAACAUAUUACCGAAGCUGUGGAUUGUCCUUUGGACAAUGGUAGGAGAGCGUUCUAAGGGCGUUGAAGCAUGAUCGUAAGGACAUGUGGAGCGCUUAGAAGUGAGAAUGCCGGUGUGAGUAGCGAAAGACGGGUGAGAAUCCCGUCCACCGAUUGACUAAGGUUUCCAGAGGAAGGCUCGUCCGCUCUGGGUUAGUCGGGUCCUAAGCUGAGGCCGACAGGCGUAGGCGAUGGAUAACAGGUUGAUAUUCCUGUACCACCUAUAAUCGUUUUAAUCGAU
rnacentral:rRNA from 1 species